rnacentral:rRNA from 1 species
GAUGAACGCUGGCGGCGUGCCUAAUACAUGCAAGUCGAGCGAACAGACGAGGAGCUUGCUCCUCUGACGUUAGCGGCGGACGGGUGAGUAACACGUGGAUAACCUACCUAUCAGACUGGGAUAACUUCGGGAAACCGGAGCUAAUACCGGAUAAUAUAUUGAACCGCAUGGUUCAAUAGUGAAAGUCGGUUUUGCUGUCACUUAUAGAUGGAUCCGCGCCGCAUUAGCUAGUUGGUAAGGUAACGGCUUACCAAGGCAACGAUGCGUAGCCGACCUGAAAGGGAGGACGCCGAGCUGGGAAGAGAGACAGGGUCGAGACUCCGGGGGGAGGAAGCGGUAGGGAAUCUUCCGGAAGGGGGGAAAGCCGAACAUAGCAACGCGGGGGGAGGGAUGAAGGUCUUCGGAUCGGAAAGCUCUGUUAUGAGGGAGGAACAAAUGUUUAAUUAACUGGGCACGUCUUGACGGUACCGAGUCAAAAAGCCACGGCUAACUACGUG